rnacentral:rRNA from 1 species
GACGAACGCUGGCGGCGUGCUUAACACAUGCAAGUCGAACGAUGAAGCCUAGCUUGCUAGGUGGAUUAGUGGCGAACGGGUGAGUAAUACGUGAGUAACCUACCUUUAACUCUGGGAUAAGCCCGGGAAACUGGGUCUAAUACCGGAUACGACCAAUCUCCGCAUGGGGUGUUGGUGGAAAGCGUUAUGUAGUGGUUAUAGAUGGGCUCACGGCCUAUCAGCUUGUUGGUGAGGUAACGGCUCACCAAGGCGACGACGGGUAGCCGGCCUGAGAGGGUGACCGGCCACACUGGGACUGAGGCACGGCCCAGACUCCUACGGGAGGCAGCAGUGGGGAAUAUUGCACAAUGGGCGCAAGCCUGAUGCAGCGACGCCGCGUGAGGGAUGACGGCCUUCGGGUUGUAAACCUCUGUUAGCAGGGAAGAAGAGAGAUUGACGGUACCUGCAGAGAAAGCGCCGGCUAACUACGUG